rnacentral:rRNA from 1 species
UACGAAGGGUGCAAACGUUGCUCGGAAUUACUGGGCGUAAAGGGCGCGUAGGCGGCCUUCUAAGUCGAACGUGAAAUCCCUGGGCUCAACCCAGGAACUGCGUCCGAUACUGGAAGGCUUGAAUCCGGGAGAGGGAUGCGGAAUUCCAGGUGUAGCGGUGAAAUGCGUAGAUAUCUGGAGGAAUACCGGUGGCGAAGGCGGCAUCCUGGACCAUUACUGACGCUGAGGCGCGAAAGCUAGGGGAGCAAACGGG